GGUCUCGUGGCAAAGUGGUAAUGCGUUGCCCUCCGAAGGCAAAGAUCGCGGGUUCAAACCCCGCCGGGAUCG